AAGUCGGAAUUGCUGUAAUCGCGGAUCAGCAUGCCGCGGUGAAUACGUUCCCGGGCCUUGUACACACCGCCCGUCACACCAUGGGAGCCGGUAAUACCCGAAGCCUGUGAGCUAACUGUAAAGAGGCAGCAGUCGAAGGUAGAAUCGAUGAUUGGGGUGAAGUCGUAACAAGGUACC
rnacentral:rRNA from 1 species